AGUUGGUUAGAGCACAUCACUCAUAAUGAUGGGGUCACAGGUUCGAAUCCCGUCGUAGCCACCA
rnacentral:tRNA from 2 species